rnacentral:rRNA from 1 species
UACGAAGGGGGCUAGCGUUGUUCGGAAUUACUGGGCGUAAAGCGUAUGCAGGCGGAUCUUUAAGUCGGGGUGAAAUCCCGAGGCUCAACCUCGGAACUGCCUUCGAUACUGAAGAUCUUGAGUCCGGGAGAGGUGAGUGGAACUGCGAGUGUAGAGGUGAAAUUCGUAGAUAUUCGCAAGAACUCCAGUGGCGAAGGCGGCUCCCUGGCCCGGUCCUGACGCUGAGCUUCGACAGCGUGGGGAGCAAACAGG